CAGCCGCCAAUGGGGUAACUUUU
rnacentral:piRNA from 1 species